rnacentral:lncRNA from 1 species
GGGAUUUGGGGAGCUAGGCUGGGGGGAGGGAGGCUCAGUCAAGAGUCUUCUGUGAGGUGGGAGUAUGGUUGCUGGUGGGAGUCUUGUACUUUUCUGGUUGAGCAAUGUGGCAAAACUCCACAGGGACACCAAGUGAGGGCCUCUUCUGCAUGCCUCUCUACACCAGUGGGUUGUUACACACAGGCAAGGGCCCUGGUGUACUUGCCAGGCUGGGGUCUCCUGUUCAGGGCUGGUACCCCUGGCCUGGGCUUACUGUUACCUAGGCCAUAAGCCUUUCCCACAGAGAUUUGGUAGGACCCCAAUACAUAGGUCUCCUGGCUCCUUGUAAUUCGUCAUUGCCUGGUCUCCCUCCCCAGUCACAAGCCUCCAGGCUCCUCAGCUCCAGGCCGUCUCAAAGCUGGUAUGGUCAGCUUAGGCUCUUUCUGAUAACCAUGCCCUUCAUCCAGGUGACUCUCAGUCCCACAGUUCCACAGUCUUCUAAGAUGGCCAAACCUGGAUUUCAACAGUUGAUGGAGGCCCCGAGAAAGUGGUUUGGGGCUCACAGCUGUCAGGAACACACUUGGAGAGGAAGAGUAAAACCUAAGGCUUCUUGGGGGAAAGGAGGCAUUCAGAGGGCCUCUUUGAACUGGGCUAGGAUUCCCCUGUUGCUGCAGGAGAGUGGGAGAGCUCACUAGCAGGUGCUGAGCCUCCCUCCUCACAUCCAGAUCUGACAUAAUGGGUGCCCUGAGUAGACCUUGCAGCCGGGAGCCAUUUCCUGCCCUCUCUUCCUUCUCCACUUCCCCUCACUAAGGCCAUGCAAAAGCAAGCACACAGUCAGAGACAGAGGGAUAGCAACCUCAGCUGAGUGCGACAUUGGGAUGUGUCUUUCUCACUCCAUCCAGGCCCCUCCCAUGAGGCCCACGUCUGGUGAAUUAUCCAGACUCUGCACAAGCUGUGGCUUCCUUUCAAUACAACAAACAUUUCCUGAGCAUCCUCUCCCAGUAAUCCAGCCAGUGGGCGAGGGUGACUCUGCCAACAGGAGGGAGGGAAGAAACCCAGUCAUCCAACAGCUCGAGGCUGAAUGGCAAGUGUUCUCAUCUGUUGACGCCUGGCAACACUGGGUAUCAUGAGGGUAGGAGCCCCACCUCUACUCCCCUCUUGAUAUAGCAUGUGCCCUCUGCGCCCAAGCCCUUGGUGGCACCAUGUAGCCCCCCUUCCUCCCCUCCUCUCUACAAGGGUAAGUGGGUCUUCCAUAACCCUCUGAAGCUCUAGGAAAAGUGCUUGUCUUCUCAUCUUUACGCAGGAGGCCUGUGACUUGGGUUCCUGCCUUGUUCUUCCUGCCUCUUGGUCCCAUCUCUAUUCCCUCUACUCAGGCAGGGGUGAACCUUCAGCAGGUCAAGCUGUUUAGACAACUCUUCUCACACUUGUGUGUGACGUGUGGUGCAGUUGAACUCAGUGGGGCUGGGGAAGGUCCAAAUGCUUACAUUUCUAAUAUGCCCCAGGCGAGGGGGACAUGGCUGCUCCGUUUUGGCCUGAAGAACCCUUUGAGGAGUAAGAGUCUGGACUUGAGUGUGCAAAGAAGCCAGUUUAGAGCAGACUCUAGAUCUAAAGCGAGUUGCAGGCCCUUAAGAACCAGGAGAGUGCUACCCUACCAAGUGGAGGAGGCUUCCUGGCUUAGAGGUGCCUGCAGAGGAUUAUUCGGGCAGUGGGUAUUGGAGUCAACUCUGCAGUGCAUCAAAAGGAAGCUGACUGGGGUGUGGCAGGAUGAAGGGGUGGAAGAGUCAGUGUGGUGGCUCAGAGGAAAUCCAGAAAUGGGAAAAAAAAAUUCCUGUACAUAUGAGACAUGCCUGGGCCAGAGGGAAGAAUCCAAACUCAUGUUUCCAUUUUGCCUUCCAGUCUCAAGUAUAUUUUGAUUUGGAGUGUGACACAGGCCCUGGAGCUCAUGACUCCUAAAGAUGGGACUGGAAUAGAGCAGGUUCGAGCAGAAAGAGUUCUUGAAUUCUGAUGUUGCAAAGACAUGGCUGUGAUCAAGAAUGUGAAGUCUUGGCUGGGGGCGUAGGUUGGUAGAGUUCGUUCUCAGCAUACCUGAACUCACAGGUUCAAUCUCUAAGACUCCUCAAGACAGAGACAGACGGUGAAUGAGUGACUGAGUCGGUCAGUCAGACAGACAGACAGAUACAGAAAGAGAGAGGAGAUGAGGAGAAAGGAAGAGAGGAGAAAAGGGGUAGGGAAAAGGGAGAGAGGAAAAAGAAAAGUCACAUUUACCUCCCGCUUGAUGCUGCCCACUGUGCAAUGUGAUCCAUCGAACAACACAGGGCAAGGCAUGUCUGACCACAGGUUGAGGAUGUAAAGAUAUGGCGGGGAUCUGGUUCGGUCUUUACAAAUGAACCUAAGCAGGAAGUGGCAAAGAGGACUGAGAGGACAUGGGGGCUUCUCUUCAUGGGCAACAGCCUUUAGAGGGAAGCCGUCCUGGCAAUUGGUGAGACAGGAAGCUGACACAGGACAUCUUCAUUAUAGAAGUCUGCAGUGCCUGUCACAACAGCAAGCUUUUCCUGGGAGAGGGGAGCUCUUCUCCAGGACAAGACACAGGUGACACCUCCCAGCUGUCUGUCCAGGUUGUACCAUCCUGCUGUUAGUGUCAACUAUGGAACAGGAGAAACCCGUGUCAGUCGUUCCUCUUGAGGCCUCAAGGGCCAGCCAUGACUGUUCCUGGUUGCUUUGUUGAAAGGUCUGACCCAGAGUUUUCCCUUAGGAAACCCUCCUCCCUCCAACAAGCAGACGCAACUACUCUUUAAAAGUCCGGAGUCUUCUUUAAACGCAACUCUGGGGAACCAGCUGCAUGGUUGGAAGAAGCCAGGCAAGGAGGGCACCCGGAGGGCCUGGCAGGGAGAGCACGAGGUUAGCCGGGGUGGGAGUUGGGGGGCAAUCCUGUCAGAAAGGUGUGCAUUUAGAUCCCAGGCCCCAGGCGAAGCCCACUUUGGAGUCUGAGAGAAUAAAUCCCAACCCCAUACCUCUCAUCUACUUGUUCAACAUUAACCUCUAAAAGCCUCAGUCUCCUUACCUGUAGAAUGAGGCUUGCUGUGCUGACCUUGAAGGGUUGUUGAGAAAGCUAGAGUGUGCAAGACAUGCCUACACUCAGUAGACACUCGGAACAGUAGCCUGGUGCUCUGAAAAUACGUUGAAUUAAAUGAAGUGGGCGUUUGAC